rnacentral:rRNA from 1 species
GAAUGCUGACAUAAGUAACGAUAAAGCGGGUGAAAAGCCCGCUCGCCGGAAGACCAAGGGUUCCUGUCCAACGUUAAUCGGGGCAGGGUGAGUCGACCCCUAAGGCGAGGCCGAAAGGCGUAGUCGAUGGGAAACAGGUUAAUAUUCCUGUACUUGGUGUUACUGCGAAGGGGGGACGGAGAAGGCUAUGUUGGCCGGGCGACGGUUGUCCCGGUUUAAGCGUGUAGGCUGGUUUUCCAGGCAAAUCCGGAAAAUCAAGGCUGAGGCGUGAUGACGAGGCACUACGGUGCUG